ACUGCGUACCUUUUGUAUAAUGGGUCAGCGAGUUAUUUUUAGUGGCGAGGAUAACUGAAUAAGGGAUCCGUAGCGAAAGCGAGUUUUAAUAGGGCGACUAGUCGCUAGGAGUAGACCCGAAACCGGCGCGAUCUAUCCAUGGCCAGGUUGAAGAUUAGGUAGUACUAAUUGGAGGACCGAACCCAAUACUGUUGCAAAAGUAUGGGAUGAGCUGUGGAUCGGAGUGAAAGGCUAAUCAAGCACGGAGAUAGCUGGUUCUCCCCGAAAACUAUUUAGGUAGUGCCUCGUGUAUAACUCAUUGGGGUAAAGCACUGUUUCGACAAUGGGGGUUUUACGACCUUACUGACUCGAUGCAAACUCAGAAUACGAUGAAGUUCGAUCACGGGAGACACACUGCGGGUGCUAAGGUCCGCAGUGGAAAGGGAAACAGCCCAGACCGCCAACUAAGGUCCCAAAGUCAUAGCUAAGUGGGAAACGAAGUGGGAAGGCCCAGACAGCCAGGAGGUUGGCUUAGAAGCAGCCACCCUUUAAAGAAAGCGUAAUAGCUCACUGGUCGAGUCGGCCUGCACGUAAGAUUUAACGGGGCUAAGCUAUGCACUGAAGUUGCGGAAUAUAUUUAGUAUAUUGGUAGGGGAGCGUUCUGUAAGCCGAUGAAGGUGAAUUGAGAAGUUUGCUGGAGGUAUCAGAAGUGCGAAUGCUGACAUGAGUAACGUAAAAUAAGUGAGAUUCUUAUUGGCCGAAAACCCAAGGGUUCCUACGCAAUGUUAAUCAACGUAGGGUAAGCCGGCCCCUAAGGCGUAGCUGAAGAGUGAAGUCGAUGGGAAACAGGUUAAUAUUCCUGUGCUGCUUAUAUGAACGAAGGAGGGACGGAGAAGGUUAGGUAGGCCUGGCGAAUGGUUGUCCAGGUGAAAGUAUGUAGGUAGGAAUGCUAGGCAAAUCCGGUGUUCUGUUGAUCUGAGAUACGAGACGAAGUUAAACUUGUUUGACGAAGCUAUUGAUACCAUGCUUCCAGGAAAAGCUUCUAAGUAUAUUGUAUAAGUGACCGUACUGUAAACCGACACUGGUGGGUAGGUAGAGAAUACUAAGGCUAUGAGAUAACUCUGGUGAAGGAACUAGGCAAAAUGACACCGUAACUUUGGAAGAAGGUGUGCCCUUGAUGGUGAUGAGACUUGCUCUUUGAGCUGUUGGGGGUUGCAGAUACCAGGUGGCUGCGACUGUUUAUCAAAAACACAGCACUCUGCGAAAUCGUAAGAUGAAGUAUAGGGUGUGACGCCUGCCCGGUGCUGGAAGGUUAAUUGAAGGGGUUAGCGCAAGCGAAGCUCUGGAUCGAAGCCCCAGUAAACGGCGGCCGUAACUAUAACGGUCCUAAGGUAGCGAAAUUCCUUGUCGGGUAAGUUCCGACCUGCACGAAUGGCGUAACGAUGGCCACACUGUCUCCACCAGAGACUCAGUGAAAUUGAAAUCGCUGUGAAGAUGCAGUGUACCCGCGGUUAGACGGAAAGACCCCGUGAACCUUUACUAUAGCUUUGCACUGGACUUUGAAUAUUUAUGUGUAGGAUAGGUGGGAGACCAUGAAGCAGCUACGCCAGUAGUUGUGGAGUCGUCCUUGAAAUACCACCCUUGAAUAUUUGAAGUUCUAACUCAGGAGAGAUUCGAGGACAGUGUAUGGUGGGUAGUUUGACUGGGGCGGUCUCCUCCUAAAGAGUAACGGAGGAGUACGAAGGUGCACUCGGUACGGUCGGAAAUCGUGCCAAGAGUAUAAAGGCAAAAGUGCGCUUGACUGCGAGAGUGACGGCUCGAGCAGGUACGAAAGUAGGUCUUAGUGAUCCGGUGGUCCCGAAUGGAAGGGUCAUCGCUCAACGGAUAAAAGGUACUCCGGGGAUAACAGGCUAAUUCCUCCCAAGAGUUCAUAUCGACGGAGGAGUUUGGCACCUCGAUGUCGGCUCAUCACAUCCUGGGGCUGAAGUAGGUCCCAAGGGUAUGGCUGUUCGCCAUUUAAAGUGGUACGCGAGCUGGGUUCAGAACGUCGUGAGACAGUUCGGUCCCUAUCUGCCGUGGGCGUUAGAGAUUUGAGAAGAGUUGCUCCUAGUACGAGAGGACCGGAGUGAACGAACCACUGGCGUUCCGGUUGUUUCGCCAGAAGCAUUGCCGGGUAGCUACGUUUGGACGGGAUAAACGCUGAAAGCAUCUAAGCGUGAAGCCUCCUUCAAGAUUAGAUCUCUCUGAUGAAAAUCAGUAAGGAACGUUGGAGACUACGACGUUGAUAGGCUGGGUGUGGAAGUACAGCAAUGUAUGAAGCUUACCAGUACUAAUGAUCCGAGAGACUUAAGUCUAU
rnacentral:rRNA from 1 species